rnacentral:lncRNA from 1 species
AGGCGUCUCUGUCCCGCGGACGCCGCAGCCGUGCGGCGGAAUCCCUCCUUCCUAGCCGGUUGCAUUUCGUGCCUCUUUGAAAUGCCACAUUCGCUUCCAGCUUAAGUGUCUUGAGAUUGUCGCGGUGUCUGCAGCUGCGGCUUCUCCAGCGCCCUCCGGAGGCUUUGCUUCGGGUUUGUCUAAUACAACACAGGGGGAAAUCAUUUGAUCGUGGACGUUUCACGUUUCUUUGUCUUCAAAAAUGAAGAGGACAUUUUGUAAAAUUAUCACACAAAGAUGAGAAAUAGAUUAGAGAACCAACUUUGGGUUGUAAAUACUAAAGAAUUCCAAAUGGUAAUGUAUGAAUGGCUAAAAAGCAGUGACACUUAUCUAACGCGUUAUUACUUUAUUCCAUAAAAGGAACAAACCUAAAUUGAAGGAAUAUUCAUUUCCCCCUUAUUGGAUUUAAUAGAACCCUUUUCAUUUUUAAUGGGAAAUAAUCAAUGUGACCUAUAGAUGUUUCAAUUUUUUUUUUAAAUAAAUAAACCUCUUUAGGGUGAUUUCUGGUGGGAUUGAGGAAAAUGAACGGGUUUAGGGUUAUCUUGGCCCAAAGUCUAUCUUGGAUUUGCCGCUAGUUCACUGUGUGACUGCGUCAGGAAACAAGCUCUGAAAAAUUUCGUUUUCUCCAAUAAAGUAUGUGAAAUUACCUAGCAUGUAGUAGCCUUCAAGAUUUUUGUAUUUCCUCUUUUUUGAUACUUAGCUGAGCAAUAAAUAUUGGACAGCAGCACCAGGGAAGAAUCUGAAUCAGGCAGGGAGGAUGAGCACUGCCCAGGAGGAAAAAGCGAAAAGGAAAGUGUGCUGAGCAGGUGCCUUGGCGGGGGAGAGAGGAAAAGGAAAUGACUUCACACACACACACACACACACGCGCACACACACACAGAGAGAAUGAAGUUUCUUUCUGUCUCUUAAGUGAUGUGUGAGUGGAUGGACAGAUUGCCCUCAGCUUUAAGGGCAGUUCAGGAUGAUCUGUCUUAAGAUCGAUGCUCUGUGGAAUGAGAAAAAUGCGCUCUGCAGGGCAUGCCCACUGCAUGUGCUGGGAGGCUCUCCUACAUCCAAUGGGCAGAUGCGCAGUCUCCACGGAGGCCUCAGGCCUCGGUGUGAGCCAGGGCUGCUUCAAACAUGUCGGCUAUCUAAAGUAAGUCCCAGCAGGGGUCAUUUAUUUAAGGACCGUGGUGCUUUCCAUGGCUGAUUUGCUGGUAAAUGACAGGUGUGAGUGUAGUGAACAUGUCUUGCCUCCACCUACUUCACCCACCAUCCUGUGCAUCAUGGAAACCUGUCUCGAUGAUCAGCAGCCAUGUGUGGUGGGGUGGAAAGGACAGUCUCCAGAGACAGAAUCCUGGGACCAUCCCUGACUUUGCAACUUACUAGCUUUCUUGCCACACUAUUUAGUUUUUUCAAGCUGUAAUUUCCUUAAAAUGGGGAAUAUGAUCAAUCUCUAUCCCACAGAAAAUUUGGAGCACAUGAGUUCAUUCAAGUAAAGUAUACCAUUAGCAGGCCAUAACACAGGCACGAAGAAGGAAAUACAAUAAUUUGUGCGUGUGUGUGGUGGGUUAAGUGUCACAUCUUCAUAAAAUUCAACCCUACCC